GACGAACGCUGGCGGCGUGCCUAACACAUGCAAGUCGAGCGGAGAUCAUAGCAAUGUGAUCUUAGCGGCGGACGGGUGAGUAACGCGUGGGCAACCUACCUCAAACUGGGGGAUAACAGUGGGAAACUACUGCUAAUACCGCAUAAAAUCAUGAGAAGACAUCUUUUUAUGAUCAAAGGAGCAAUCCGGUGAGAGAUGGGCCCGCGUCCAAUUAGCUAGUUGGUGAGGUAACGGCCCACCAAGGCGACGAUUGGUAGCCGAACUGAGAGGUUGAUCGGCCACAUUGGGACUGAGACACGGCCCAGACUCCUACGGGAGGCAGCAGUGGGGAAUAUUGCGCAAUGGGGGAAACCCUGACGCAGCAACGCCGCGUGAAGGAUGAAGGUUUUCGGAUUGUAAACUUCUUUGAUGGGGGACGAACAAAAUGACGGUACCCCAAAAACAAGCCACGGCUAACUACGUGCCAGCCGCCGCCGUAAGAC
rnacentral:rRNA from 1 species